GGGUCAUAUUCGCUGUCGUUUUUGUUUACUUCAGUCUCAAAUUUGUUUUAGUUUUUAUGCUUACAAUGUCCGGCGCGUUUAUUAAUCAAUAACGGGCCCGUUAGUGAUAAAAUUAAUUAAUAGAAAUCCUGCAUAGAUUAUGUUAAUAUUGCCCUUACAACAUCUGCCCCCAACAACAGAACCACCUCGUCUUCGAUCUUCCCCGAUUCAAGCACAAGCACCCAGAAGAUCCUGAGGAGGUCCCAGGAGGGUUCCUGACAGAUUGUAACAAGGACUCCCUGACUGUGAUCCCUGAUGCCCUAUAUUGAAUGCUUCAGUGAAGGGUGCCAAGGUGUACGACAAGUUCCAGUUUGAACGGAUCGGCUACUUCUCUGUAGAUCCUGAUUCAGCAAAGUCCGACAAGGUCAGCUGUCGUAACUCUUAAUGUCUCACAUUUACAAUAUACUUCAGCAUCUGAGGAAAAUGUACUCUGGGGAUUUAUAGUUGAAAUUGACUAGAAAUUGUGUACACUUAUUAUUCCCAGUAAUCAGUUAUGUUGUCAGUCCACUCUGUUUUCAUUUGAGACAUUUUGAGAAUAAAAAGCCUAUGGACACUUGUUUCAGUUUCACAUCAAAACUCCAGCA